rnacentral:rRNA from 1 species
GUAGGUGGCAAGCGUUGUCCGGAAUUAUUGGGCGUAAAGCGCGCGCAGGCGGUUCUUUAAGUCUGAUGUGAAAGCCCACGGCUCAACCGUGGAGGGUCAUUGGAAACUGGAGAACUUGAGUACAGAAGAGGAAAGCGGAAUUCCACGUGUAGCGGUGAAAUGCGUAGAGAUGUGGAGGAACACCAGUGGCGAAGGCGGCUUUCUGGUCUGUAACUGACGCUGAGGCGCGAAAGCGUGGGGAGCAAACAGGAUUAGAUACCCUGGUAGUCCACGCCGUAAACGAUGAGUGCUAAGUGUUAGGGGGUUUCCGCCCCCCUUAGUGCUGCAGCUAACGCGUUAAGCACUCCGCCUGGGGAGUACGGCCGCAAGGCUG